GAGAAAAGUUGGUGAUUGGCUUCACUACUCGAGUUACACUCAACAGGCUCCUUGAAGCAGGAGCCAUUACACCGCAGCAAGUGCAGAGGUUCCAGAAGGCAGCAGUGGCGUUUCUGGAAAGGGCUGUGGAGUAUGCCAUCAAGAAACUCCCCAUGAAAGAGCCUCUGAUUAAACAUGCCAUGUUUCUGGAUGUCCAGCAGAGUGUGGAGUGGAAGAUGCCUUCUACUUUGUCAAGUUGGGCUAUCAAAUUUCCUGAACUUCUCCCAUACAAUGGACCUGAAGAGCAUGACAAACUUUGUGAGGAGUUUCUGGACUACCAGACCAUGGACAUUGCCAUGCCCGACGACCCAGCAAUGUUUGACUUUGAGAGAUUUUGGGGGAACAUGGCAUCAAUGAAGAACAAGCUGGCCAACAACUGACGGAGGUUUCAUUUACAUAAUGAACCAAAUUAAAUGGGAGGAGACGCUAGGAGAGUUACGGCAUCCAAAUGGAGCUACAUUGCCGCAUCCUACAAUAAUCAAAAACUGGACGGAUGAUAUGAAAAGGUGGCCUGAGAUCAUUGGCGUCAGUUUGGUUUGAAAUGUGCUGGGGAC
ensembl:lncRNA